rnacentral:rRNA from 1 species
GUUGGUGCGGUAACGGCCCACCAAGGCGACGAUCGGUAGCCGGACUGAGAGGUUGAACGGCCACAUUGGGACUGAGACACGGCCCAGACUCCUACGGGAGGCAGCAGUGGGGAAUAUUGCACAAUGGGGGAAACCCUGAACCAGCAACGCCGCGUGAGGGAUGACGGCCUUCGGGUUGUAAACCUCUGUCCUCUGUGAAGAUAAUGACGGUAGCAGAGGAGGAAGCUCCGGCUAACUAC